GCAUUGGUGCUUCAGUGGUAGAAUUCUCGCCUGCCACGUGGGAGACCCAGGUCUGAUUCUCGGCUAAUGCA
rfam:Danio rerio chromosome 4, GRCz11 reference primary assembly.